rnacentral:rRNA from 1 species
UACGAAGGGGGCGAGCGUUGUUCGGAAUUACUGGGCGUAAAGGGCGCGCAGGCGGCUCUGUAAGUCAGAUGUGAAAGCCCCGGGCUUAACCUGGGAACUGCAUUUGAUACUCUGGAGCUUGAGUACGGGAGAGGAUAGUGGAAUUCCCAGUGUAGAGGUGAAAUUCGUAGAUAUUCGCAAGAACACCAGUGGCGAAGGCGGCUCACUGGCCCGGAACUGACGCUGAGGUGCGAAAGCGUGGGGAGCAAACAGG